rnacentral:rRNA from 1 species
GUACGGGAGGCAGCAGUGAGGAAUAUUGCGCAAUGGGCGAAAGCCUGACGCAGCGACGCCGCGUGGGGGAUGAAGGUCUUCGGAUUGUAAACCCCUUUCGGGAGGGAAGACGGCCUUAGACAACUAAGGCGGACGGUACCUCCAGAAGCAGCCACGGCUAACUUCGUGCCAGCAGCCGCGGUAAUACGAAGGUGGCAAGCGUUGUUCGGAUUUACUGGGCGUAAAGGGAGCGUAGGUGGUUAGGUAAGCCCUCCGGGAAAUCUUCAGGCUUAACCUGAAAAGGUCGGGGGGGACUGCCUAGCUAGAGGGCGGGAGAGGAGCGCGGAAUUCCCGGUGUAGCGGUGAAAUGCGUAGAGAUCGGGAGGAAGGCCGGUGGCGAAGGCGGCGCUCUGGAACGUUUCUGACACUGAGGCUCGAAAGCGUGGGGAGCAAACAGGAUUAGAUACCCCUGUA